rnacentral:rRNA from 1 species
UACGGAGGGUGCAAGCGUUAUCCGGAUUUACUGGGUUUAAAGGGUGUGUAGGCGGGCCUUUAAGUCAGUGGUGAAAUCUUCGGGCUCAACCCGGAAACUGCCAUUGAUACUAUUGGUCUUGAAUCUUGUUGAGGUGGGCGGAAUACAUCAUGUAGCGGUGAAAUGCUUAGAGAUGAUGUAGAACACCGAUUGCGAAGGCAGCUCACUAAGCAAGUAUUGACGCUGAGGCACGAAAGCGUGGGGAUCAAACAGG